GACGAACGCUGGCGGCGUGCUUAACACAUGCAAGUCGAACGGUAACAGGUCUCCGGAUGCUGACGAGUGGCGAACGGGUGAGUAAUACAUCGGAACGUGCCUAGUAGUGGGGGAUAACUACUCGAAAGAGUGGCUAAUACCGCAUGAGAUCUACGGAUGAAAGCAGGGGAUCGCAAGACCUUGUGCUACUAGAGCGGCCGAUGGCAGAUUAGGUAGUUGGUGGGAUAAAAGCUUACCAAGCCGACGAUCUGUAGCUGGUCUGAGAGGACGAUCAGCCACACUGGGACUGAGACACGGCCCAGACUCCUACGGGAGGCAGCAGUGGGGAAUUUUGGACAAUGGGCGCAAGCCUGAUCCAGCAAUGCCGCGUGCAGGAUGAAGGCCUUCGGGUUGUAAACUGCUUUUGUACGGAACGAAAAGCCCCGGGUUAAUACCCUGGGGUCAUGACGGUACCGUAAGAAUAAGCACCGGCUAACUACGUGCCAGCCGCCGCGGUAA
rnacentral:rRNA from 1 species